UGGGGAAUAUUGCACAAUGGAGGGAACUCUGAUGCAGCGACGCCGCGUGAGUGAUGAAGGAAUUCGUUUCGUAAAACUCUGUUCUAUGGGAAGAAAAGGACUGUACCAUAGGAGAAAGCUCCGGCUAAAUACGUGCCAGCAGCCGCGGUAAUACGUAUGGAGCGAGCGUUGUCCGGAAUUAUUGGGCGUAAAGGGUGCGCAGGCGGCUUUACAAGUUGGAUGUGAAAUAUUGUGGCUCAACCACAAACGUGCAUCCAAAACUGCAAAGCUUGAGUUAAGGAGAGGAAAGUGGAAUUCCUGGUGUAGGGGUGGAAUGCGUAGAUAUGAGGAGGAAUAACGGUGGCGAAGGCGACUUACUGGACUUAAACUGACGCUCAGGUACGAAAGAGUGGGGAGCAAACAGG
rnacentral:rRNA from 1 species